rfam:Pan troglodytes isolate Yerkes chimp pedigree #C0471 (Clint) chromosome 14, whole genome shotgun sequence.
GCUGGGCAUGGUGGUGCGUGCCUGUAAUCCCAGCUACUGGGGAGGCUGAGGCAGGAGAAUGGCUUGAACCCAGGAGGCGGGGGUUGCAGUGAGCCGAGAUCAUGCCACUACACUGCAGCCUGGGUGACAGAGCAAGACUCCGUCUCAA